GCAAACUUGGUCAUUUAGAGGAAGUAAAAGUCGUAACAAGGUUUCCGUAGGUGAACCUGCGGAAGGAUCAUCAGAGAAACGCCCCCCUCGAGGGGGCACACUCUAUUCCACACACACACACGUGCACCCUCGUCGGGCCUCUUUCGGCCCGUCCCUUUUUCUCUAACACAAGUCAUCGAACGUCUAUUAUGAUAAAUGAAACAACUUUCAACAACGGAUCUCUUGGCUCUCGCAUCGAUGAAGAACGCAGC
rnacentral:misc_RNA from 1 species